GAUUAAACACCCCUAAACAUCUCGUCUUGGGGGGGCAUUCAAAUCAAUUUUAGAAACAUUUUCUACAGAGGAUGUCACUUCGCCAGAGCCCUUCUGAGCUUCAACACGGGCCAUCUUCCGGUGAUAGCUUUUGUGGCCUCCAAGCGCCUGCCCUGUUGAAAACCUCCUUGAGCACAGAUUGCACACAUAUUUGUUUCCUCUAUCAUCAACCGCUGGUUCUGCCAAGCUUUUAUCUCUUCUCUUUCCUCCUCUUCCAGUCCCUAAUUCCCCCAAUGGUGCAUUCUCUAGAAUUUUGUUCCUGUUGUGAGCUGCUGUAUGGCCACCAAGUGCAUGGUAAUCAUCAAACACCUCGUUGCAUUCCUUGCAAACAUAAGAACCCUUUCGAUCAACCAAUUCUGACUGGCUUUUUAACUUGAUAUCCAUCUUCUUCGGUUUCUUCUUCACGUACUUCUUAAUCAAUCCCAAUUCAUUACACCUCUUCUUGCCACUGGCAGUAGGAACUUGGUCAUUGGUAUCCGAAUCCGAAUCCGAAUACCCCAAGCUAGUCUUGUUAUUAUUUGUUGAACACUGCUGCAUCUUCUCUUCAACCUUUCCCUUAUCCUGGUUGCUUACUAUCUUUGGCAAAAUCUUUGAUGUGUUCUUGUUUUUGGUAAUACCCAUAGAUUUCAGUUCUAACAGGAUUGUUUCAAGAAUCUCUUGAUCGACAUGACACAACCAAGAAGAGCAAGAACAGCAAGUUCUCUUCCGAGUUUUGGACCAACUUCUAGCAGGGAGAUAGUCCAUGAGAUUGAUGAUAGCAGGUGCAAAGCGGCUAGAAUCAACAGCCAAAUUACCCUUUUCAGGAUGAUGUUCUUGAUGACCAUUAUAUUGUUCUUGAUCUUGAUCGUAAUAAACGUCGGUGGCAAUCGAAGAGCUAUUAUCCAAGAAGUCUUUGUUAAGCAGUAGCCGGUUCUUGUGAUCUGAUGCAGUACCUCCAUAAUUGGAUGAAUCCAUGUUCACAGUGAG
rnacentral:misc_RNA from 1 species